UACGGGGGGGGCAAGCGUUGUUCGGAAUUACUGGGCGUAAAGGGCGCGUAGGCGGCCUUCUAAGUCGAACGUGAAAUCCCUGGGCUCAACCCAGGAACUGCGUCCGAUACUGGAAGGCUUGAAUCCGGGAGAGGGAUGCGGAAUUCCAGGUGUAGCGGUGAAAUGCGUAGAUAUCUGGAGGAACACCGGUGGUGAAGGCGGCAUCCUGGACCGGUAUUGACGCUGAGGCGCGAAAGCCAGGGGAGCAAACGGG
rnacentral:rRNA from 1 species